rnacentral:lncRNA from 1 species
CAACUUGAUACAAGAAUUCCAACCAAGGGAUAAAAGUAUGUAGUACAAGACCAUUGUGGCCUAGGAGUACAACAUUUGGUUUCUAAUGGUUGGGGGCGGAAGCGGUUGGAUACAUCUGCGUCUAUGGGACUCCAUUUCCCACAAGAACAGCUGACCAGGAUAACUCCUAUCUUCGCAAGGUUGCUAUCGUCAACACGUAGGCUCCGAGGCUGCCACCGCGAUGCUUAUCUCCAUGCACGAAAAUCUGGCCAAGACAAUAGCCAGGGACAAGCCAGUGAGUACGUUUGAAUGUACUCGCAAACAUUAAGAACACGGGUAUAAUAUAACAGGAGAUAAUCAUACUCCGAAACAUUUAUGAUGAUAGGUCUGCCAUGAAGUAAACAAAAAAAAAUCUGCGGUGCACGCGUGCAGAGAAAACAUGGACGUGCAAUACGGGAGUAAAAGAAAUGCACUGAGCGAGAAGUCGGGCGGUAAUCCUCCCGAAAUCCCAAAAUAAAAUACUGGGUGCCAAACGAGGGUCUGAAUGACACCUCGAGAGGAAACUGCAAGAAUGAUAAUACUGGUGCCAAACGAGGGUCUGAAUGACUCCUCGAGAGGAAACUACAAGAAUAAUAAUACUGGUGCCAAACGAGGGUCUGAAUGACUCCUCGAGAGGAAACUGCAAGAAUAAUAAUGCCGCAGUCGGGCGUCGGGGCGACACCACAUAAAGGGCUUAUAACAGAAAAUAAAGGCAAUGCGUGCCACAGUCGGACGUCUGAGCGACAUCACAUAAAGGGCUUUUCAAAGUAAGAAAACAAAAACACGCCACAGUCGGACGUCUGAGCGACAUCCCAUAAAGGGCUUAUAAAAGAAUAAUCACAGUGAAUAUCCAGGAGGUAGAACCAUCCUAGGGAUACUCAACAAAAAUACAUAAUGUAAAUGGUUAGUCCAUAAUAAUAAUAAAAUUACAACAUGAUCCUCAGAUGUCACAGGUCAUAGACAAAAAUUUAGUCUAGUUGUUUCUCCAUCCGAAGACCGUCACUGAGUUCUAGCUGAUUCGUUCUCCAUCCGAAUACCGUUACUAUGAUCCAGUUAGCCGUGUCUCCAUCCGAAAACCGUCACUGAGCUCUAAUUAAAUCGUUCUCCAUCCGAAUACCAUUACCAGAUUUAACUCAGACUGUGGUCCUGACUCAAGAAUAUGGCUAACCAACAGGAUAUAUCCUCUGCAGAGGGAGUACUAUUUUCCCACGAGUAACGGAUUUAUUUAGUCCAUCGGGACUAAUUCCGCCUACGGUCUUUUAAUUGAAAACACGCCUGACCUGCACACACCAGCUUAACUCACCGAUGUCUGGAAUCACCCACGACACCUGCCAAGCAAAACUCUAAGUGGGGAGGCUACAACCUCGACGUAGCAUGGGAUCAAAUUUCUAUUCGCGCGCUCUAAGGGGGUGCCCCCCUCUCGCUCCCAACCGGAAAACACCCAUGCCCCCGGACCAAGUGGCCUGCCUACCGGAGGCCUCCGGUAUCUUCCACUAUGGCCUCUCUGUACGGUGUGUGCUUUGGUAAGGGGUUGACAACUUACUGAACCAUACCCCGUCUGCGACAGGGACAAGUGGUGGUACCAACAAAUAGGGAAGCUACUGAUCAAGACUCGACCUACGACCGACUCAGGUGGUCCAAGUAUCCUCCAACAAUAUUACCAUUAGUGGAAUAAAUCACCACUCAUUAAGCCUCACCAUGCCAUACCGGACAUACUCGUCUCGACGAGGGACUAGGGACAAGCUCGUGUCUACCCAAGACCACGACUUUCCCGGCUACCUUCCGGUAUGCAUGAGGGGCUCACGAGGAUGGUCCAAAACACUAGCGUAACCAUUGCUGACCACAAGAUAUCUCCAAAAAGCACUCAUGCGAAUGAUCUUACCGUCACAUACAAUAGCAUACACUCCUCGUCAAAGUGGUGUCGAAACCGUAUCAAAACACCACCCAAAAAUAUUAUGCCAGAGUUCAGAAAUGCUUUCCUUCAAUAGUAUGCAAGGGAUGCACUUUUUGGAAGCUUUCCCUUUUCUCCAAAAUCCUAUUUUGCAAAAUAUCCAAAUAACAAAUAUUUCAAACACAGUACAAAAAGUUGUCUCAAAUAUUUUUCAAAUAAAUCUUAAAAUAAACUAGAUGAAAUUUGAGAGAGGUAGGAAAAAGAAUCAACUCAUUCGGAGUUUUAUUUUAAAGGUUAUAGGUGGUCAAAGUCUGGUCAAAACUCUGUUUUAUUAAAAUCAGAAAAAGGAAAACGCUUCGAGGGGAAUACGCUUUCGUACUAGAGGAAACGUACUCAGGACGUUUGUGCCUUCACUUAAAACAGAGCAGACGGCGCGUGGGUCACUGACAGUGGGUCCAGGGGGCCCACUGGUCAGGUUUGACCGUUCUUCCCUCCUUCUCCUCUCUUCUACCCGACGGGAGCGGGGCUCCGGCGAUCGUCGUCGACGAACGGCAGCGCCACACGGGCAUCCAAGAGCGGGGAUGGAACGGCCAGACCGAGGCGGUCCUCUGGGUGGUCGCUGGGCCGCCGGAGGUGGGAGGAGUCGCCGGCGGCGAGCUCCGCGGCGGAGGGGGCUACGGUGGCGAAGUGACUCUUGUGCUCCGGUGGUCUCCGACCGAAGUUGGGUAGUUGGGCAGCUCCGCAUGGACUAGAGGAAUCUACUCGUGGCGUUGGUUGGACGAAUGAGCGGUUGGUUGCGACGAAUCGCACCGGAGCUUGGCGGCGGCCGAACUGGCCGGAGUUGAGGAAGAUGGCCACUACGGGUCGAUCCACUGCGUGGGAAGCUUCAUGGGGAGGGUCUGAUGUCGCCUGAAACCUUGAACGAGCUCGGGGACCCUUUAUAUAGGCGCUCGAGGUUGGACCGCGGCGGCUGCAGAUAAGAUCGCCGGCGACAGCCGUUUGUGUAGCUGCAGGGCGUCGUGGCAGCGACGAACGCGUGGCGACGAGCAUGAGGAUAAGCACGAGCUAUUCACAGGGGCAGCUGGCGCGCUGGGGUGGUUUGGGCGAUGCCGAACAUGGCAGAGGCCGCUGCCGACGCCGGCGUGCCGCCAAGGGCGCUGCCAGCGGCGCUGCAGGGCGCCAGCGAUGCCGUGGAGCAGGGAGCGGCUAGUGCGCGGUUCAGCGAUGCAGAAGGGGCCAGGGACGGGUCGCGUCGAGUGCGGCAGUGCGGCGUGUCGGCUCAGUGCGCGCGCGUGCAAAACGUGCGCUCUGGGCGCGCCCAGAGCACGCACGGCACCUGCUCGACGAAAUGCCAGUGCGGUCUAGAGCGCGAGGGUGGAGCUGGCACUGCACAGGAUGGAGGUAGGGUUAGCAAGGCGCUCAGUGGACAUGGUUGCUGGGUCAAUUGGAGCAAGUUCAUAGUGCAAACAAGGAACUCAUGCCAAAACAGACUGUGCAUACCAGGUGUUCGACAGAAUGCCAAGUGCACUUAGGCAACUCUUGGAGUGGCCAAAAUCUCCAGAUCAGGGUCUCUUUAGAUGCAGGAGAUGGUGGUAAGAUCACUUGGGCAAAACCAGAAACUUGUUAGUGCAAGUCUUGGAGAAAACCAGUUUUGGGCAGAAACUAAAGGCUAUCAUUGCAUGCACCAAAAAUAUGCCAAAGGGUCCAAUCUCCUGGACUUAAGAGUUUGGCAGAGAGUACUAUAGGUAGGAAAAAGCUCAAGAGCACUAGAGCAAAAUAGAAUGGGGUUGCAGUUCAAAACACCAAACUGGACCAGAAUGAAAAAGAGGUUGAUUCACUCAAAUUUUUCAAAGAACAACACUGGGUUUUUGCAUAGAGUUGAAUUGUAUGCAUCCACUGACAUCUCCAAACACUUGGAAGAAUUUUUAAAGAAAUAUUUAAAUGGGUUGUAGUGCAAAAGUGCCUACUGGACCAGAUUGGAAAAGUUGGUGUAGAGCUCAAAAUCUCCAAUGGCCAAAAGGUAUUUUUGCAUAAAAGUGAUGUGGAAACAUCACAUGACAUCCCCAAAUUUUGGUGAAAAUUUUGAAGGCAUUUAACAAAAGUUUGCAGUGCAAAAAGGGGCUCCAAAAUUAUGAAAGAUCAUUUUGAAGGCAUUAAAGCUCCUGGAAAUUAAUUUUGCAGAUAAAUCCACUGAUAUGGAAUUUUUUUUAUAAAAAGGGCAUAUAAGUCCAAUAAAACUUUUGGAAAGUUUUCCAGUAGGGGCAAAAAUCCAAAAUAAUAAAAGGGUAAAACUUGACAAAUGGAAAAGUUUUAUUUCCUGGCAAAAUUUUAAUAAAUAAAACAAGGUCAAAAAAUUUGGGUGUCACAACACUACCCCCCUUAAGAAAAAUCUCGUCCUUGAGAUUUGUUAAAAGCUGUUUUGAACAAAAACUGUUUUUAUCAAAAGAAAAUCAUAUAACUGCACAAAAACAAAGCGGCUACAGUGAGAGGGCAAUAAGUGGUGUGAAAACCACAGUGUGAUAGACUGGAGUAGUAUGGAAAAAUCCACGGUUAGGGAAAACGAGAUAUUUCUACGCAGAUACAGUAAUUUAGAAUAAAUUCUAAAUUACUAAAAUACGCUGGUCGCACCCGAGAGCACAGUGCUCUCUCUGGCUGACAGGUGGACCCAGGGCCCACUGUCGGCCUCUUCUCCUACCCCUGGCUCUCUCUUCUUUCUCGCGCGCUCUCCCGCGCUUCGUCCACCGGCGAUGCCUAGCUUGUAGGGCAUCGAGGCCGUACCGAGGUAGUGUGCGGCGUGCUAGCUGCCGGGGCAGCAUGCACUCACCUCGCGGGCCAGUGCGCUGUCGGCACUGCUCGCGGACUCGCCUCCGAACACCGGCGAUCGCGCGACGAGCGGCGCUGGUGGACCUCGCCCACCGUACACCGAUCUUGAGCUAUAAAACGACCGCGGUGCUCCUCUCUUCUCCCUCACACCUGGCCUCGUUCCUACUCCUCCUUCCUUCUCCUCCACUGCUGUUUGCAGGAGCUUGAGACGAGGCUCUAAUGGCGGAGGCGAUGCCGGACUGGUAUGUGGUCCUGGUGUGUGGAGGUUUGGCGGUGCUGCUGGGGUUCUCCGUGCUCCUGUGCGCGAUGAUCCUGGAUGAUCGUCGAGAUGCUGCGGCUCGAGUGUUAGCUCUUCGUGGCAGCGGCGAUCACGUGGAUUAGGCGCGGCACUGAGCGCUAACAGCUGUCGAUGUUGUGGGGUAACUCGUGCCUGAAUGGUCACUCACAAAUCUCUCUCACUGAGACUGUGGUGUCCUCGAGUGUGGUUAGUUAGGCGCAAAAAUGUGCUCAGGGAUUUGCAAUAGUGCCCGAGGUCGAGUGGUUGUUGUCGUGAGUCUGUUGUUACGAUGCUGCGUGAAUAAAGAUCUAUGUCGUGAAAAUAUAUACGUGGCAGUGACUCGGGGAAAGAAAUCUCCUCAAAAACAUGCUGCGAGAGACAAAAAUAAAUAAAACAAAACUAACAGCAGUAAAACUGCUCACAUAACCGAAACUAAAGAAAAACGGAUCCGUCGCACAAAAUUUACGAACACGCUACAACACAUAAAUAAAAAAACUGGGAUAAUAAAUACAGCGAAGGUGUUUACAAGGAAAAAGGCAAAAAGACAGGGUCCUGAGAAAACGCCUCUGGUACUGUGGCACACUCCUCUUCUAUUGGGGGAAGCGGGUCGACCAGUCGAUGAAUGCGCCUCUCCUGGUCAGGCCUCAGUGGUCUGCCAAUAGCGAUCCGAGUAUUUAAAUCAGCGAGGCUCUGGAGAUAACCCAUCACCCGCUGAGUUAAACGCUCCUGAGCGAUAACGUACUGGGCAAGGUUGGCCAGUACUGGAUCUCUCUCAAUUCGUCCACCGGGAAAAGAUGCAACUUCUCCGAGUGCUGCACGACUCGGAAAAUAAUAGUAUCCUCGCUCGCUGGCAUAGGGUACCGCGAAUCGAAGACGAGUGAGCGCCUCGUACGCAGCAGCUUCUAUGGCCAUAUGCGGAGUCGGCAUGGAUUUCCCCACGAAGGAGACUUCCGUGGGAUCUUGGUUUGGGUAGGCGGGAGGGAUGUGCACCACUGCCCAAUAUUUCGAGGUGGAUGGGGUGAUCCUCGAUUUGAGCAACUCGUACUGGGGUGGACGGGUGGCACUCAUAGUACUGCAGGUAAAGUCCCACAAUAAUUUGAUAAAACUGCCCGGGGUUGCGUCUGGGGUUCUUAGAUAAAUACUGGGGGUCGGCAUGGCAAAGGAAUGGCUGUGAGAGCUGCGCACAAAGGUGAGGGAUACUUGGCAAGGUCACGAAGUGGCCUUUAUAUAGUACCGGGGCUGGGAUAAAUCAUUGGGGAAAAAGGGUGACUGGUUGUCGAUCCUGUUCUCGGGUCAAAGCCACAGAUAUACACAUCACAUAAAUGUGACGCAUCACUGUGGGUGCCGUCGGGGUUGGUCUUGGUAGCUGCGCCCGAAAUUUAAAAAUGCAACUGUACGCUAACGUACACAUGCAUAGACAGCAUGCAAUAAAAGCGAUACCAGACCACACCAUUAAAAAGCGUAGGAAAACUAAGGUUCGAUACAACUCGAGCGACUUAGUCUACUACGUUAAUGUCUAAGAGGGCUGGCCUUGCGGACGCCGAUGCUUCUCCACGGUCCUCACCGUCGGGAUUUGCUGGUUGAGGCUGAGGGGCUGCAGGGUCGGGGAAGUGGUGAUGACCAUCGCGGGGGUUGUUGGCCACAAUCCCGUUGGAAUGGGUUCCCAAAAGACGACGAAGCGCUUCUGGGGUCACCAAGGCACUCUGGUUGAUGGCUGACGCAGACCUCAAGGGAUCGAUCGGGUGUCCGAACAGCACGACUGGGUUGUCGGUGUCGGACUCCGCUUCUCUCCUUGCCGGGGCUCGGCGAACCAGUUCUCCAUGAGCUGCGAUCAGAUCAAGGGUGACCUGAUCGAACAGUUGCUCUAGUGCGCUUACAUAGCGCACCAGAUGCAACAGCGCAGGAUCUGUCUCGUGGUCUCCGUUGGCAACCUGGGGCGGCCUACCAUACCCGUCACGACUGGGGUAGUAGUAGAACGAGCGACAGUUAACUCUGGGCGACAAGUGCUGGAGUUGAACUAUAGCUUCUCGGGCUGCCAGUUGGAUGGCUUGCGGCUCAAAGGAAGUUGUCCUGCCAGUGAACCGGUAGGGGCGUUCUGGCGACAAACCCCUACCGUAGAUGUGGACAGUGGCCCAGUACUGACGGCUCUCACCGUACAUGGGUCCCUGGUACACAACAUACUGAGGAGGCUCUUCUAACGCGUAGGCACGGCGGGUGAGGUUUGCGAGCCCGGUCACAAAACCUCCCAGGUUGGUCGCUGUGGUCUCAUUGUGAACAAUGGGACCAGGCAUCGUGGCUUGGUUUUGGGGGAAGAGGCUGUGCUGUGUUGUGACUAGCGUGCCCUUUUUAUAGGAAAAGGGGACGGAGUCUUCCUCCGCACGCUUGCGAUAGAGACGGGUUGGGUGUCGGUCACUGGCGCGUGAUCGACGGGCUAGGCUGAUAGGUUGGGCACCGUCCGCCGAAAGGCGUCGGGUCACUGUGCGGCUAUCUUACGCGGGAAGCUUGACCGGGGUUAGGCUAAGGCCUGGUGGUCUGGUUAACCUAGGUUUAUUGACCUGGCUAAGAUAGGGUUAGCCAAUGGUCAGCCUGGCUCUGAUACCAAGUCUGUCACGACCGGAUUUUUGGGAUAAUAAUUUCCCAGAAAAACGGCCUUUGUGCUCACCAGCCCCAGGAUUACCGUUAGCUGAUGAGGCACCAACUUGAUACAAGAAUUCCAACCAAGGGAUAAAAGUAUGUAGUACAAGACCAUUGUGGCCUAGGAGUACAACAUUUGGUUUCUAAUGGUUGGGGGCGGAAGCGGUUGGAUACAUCUGCGUCUAUGGGACUCCAUUUCCCACAAGAACAGCUGACCAGGAUAACUCCUAUCUUCGCAAGGUUGCUAUCGUCAACACGUAGGCUCUGAGGCUGCCACCGCGAUGCUUAUCUCCAUGCACGAAAAUCUGGCCAAGACAAUAGCCAGGGACAAGCCAGUGAGUACGUUUGAAUGUACUCCCAAACAUUAAGAACACGGGUAUAAUAUAACAGGAGAUAAUCAUACUCCGAAACAUUUAUGAUGAUAGGUCUGCCAUGAAGUAAACAAAAAAAAUCUGCGGUGCACGCGUGCAGAGAAAACAUGGACGUGCAAUACGGGAGUAAAAGAAAUGCACUGAGCGAGAAGUCGGGCGGUAAUCCUCCGAAAUCCCAAAAUAAAAUACUGGGUGCCAAACGAGGGUCUGAAUGACACCUCGAGAGGAAACUGCAAGAAUGAUAAUACUGGUGCCAAACGAGGGUCUGAAUGACUCCUCGAGAGGAAACUGCAAGAAUAAUAA